AUGGCGGCGGCGCUGCCGCCGGCCAAGUGCCGGGGGCAUGGAGAGAGGUUAGAUGCUGGUGAGUUGGGUGGCCAAUCCAUCAUGGACUGGAGCAUCUUCAAGCAAAGGGGGAGGGAGAUCCUUCGACGGGCGCAAGAUCGAGAACGUUGUUUGCGGCGGAUGAAGGCUAAAGCAGAUGCCUUCUUCAAUUCUUCUCCAAUUCAAGAGGAAAUCAAAGGAGGAGAGGAGGGGAUUGCUCCCACGGCUCCAAUGGGAGGGGAUUUCGCCCUCGAUCCCGCAUUCAGGGAUGUAAAUCGGGGGAAUAAAGGUCAGGUUAGUCCGUCAGUUUCUCUUGGUAUUAUUUCAGAUUUGAAGAAUACUGGAAAUGGACAGCAGGGUAUGAGUAAUUGGGAUGAUAAUUUCGGUGAUUUGGAGGCUGAUUUUGGGGAGGACAAACUGUAUUUCAGGAGAGAGAUCAUAGGGAAUUUUCAGCAACCUGCUCGUGUUGCUUCUUGCCCGCUCUCUGUUUCUGCCUGUGUGUUCCAGGAACCUAUGGGUGACCAGCGAGGGGAAAACAUGGAGGUGAACGGCAUUGGGGCAGGUCAAGAGACUCGCCGUCUUCCGCUGCGGGUCUCCCUGCUGCGGGUGCCUCCGACCAUGCCUCCCAUGGGGUGA
rnacentral:rRNA from 1 species